ensembl:lncRNA
CAUUUCAGAGCCAUACAUAACUGGGUCAAGGACUUUAUUUUACUCUAUUUUAAACUUUAUUUUAGGGCUACGCAGUUGCACUGAUCACAACUAUGGAUAUAAACAUGCUGCUCCUGUUUCUAUUGCUGCUGCUCUUUGGUUCUCAGGCUAACCAUUUCUUUGGGACAGUGAUGACUUUUACCCCCAAAGACAAGACACAUAAUGGCUCUCUCAUGGUGGUCUUUCACUACAAGCUGAGCUUUCGCUCAUGCACCGAUCAAGACACGUGGAGCUGUGUCAGCGGUGACUGUGGUACAGAAAGUGUGGAGCUGAGCAUUGUGGAUGAGGAGGACAAAGAGUGGUGUCAGAGGGAAGGAGUCAUGUCUCGGGAAGUUUCCAGCAAUGCUGUGUUUCAGCUACGAUUGGAUGGCGGUGACUGGAUUCAAACCAAAAACAAGGUGAAGAAAUGGAGAGCUCUGACUAAUGUGGACCUGAGGACUCGUCUCGACACUAAUCAGCCAAACAAGUCACCUCAGACCACCAUCCUGCCAGCCCUGCGAGUCCCUUCAAACUGUCAAAGAGUCUUCACCCUGUCGGCCUUUGACCCUGAUGGAGACAAGGUUAAAUGCAGAUUUGGAGACAUAGACGCAGAUGAGUGUAAUCCUUGUACACCACCGUCUGUUCUGACCAUCUCACAAUGGACUCUCCUGCACCAUCAUGCUCAGAGGGAGUCUACCUGCCCAGGUUUCUACCUCCAACCCCAGCCAAUGGGGCUCGCAUGUACACUAAUGACACAGUGAACAUUACCAUUAUGGCAGAGGUGAAAAACACCAUGGUUUUAAAGCUUUUGUUCAGUGGACCGCACAAUGUUGUAAAACACAAUGAAUCACAUGGAGAAUUUAUCCUGACUUGGACGCCAUCUGAGAAUCAAGAUGGAGAAGAUCAUCCCGUCUGCUUCUUAGUCCAGGCAGAGAAAGGGUCAGUGUGGGAUUUGGAUCCAUUAAUAAUAAUAAGUGAAAAGCACAUCAUACAGUAAAUACACGAGGACUGGAAUAUUUUAAAUUUAUGUUUUUGUACUAUUUCAAUUGUUCAUCAGUGCAGCCAAAUAUCAGUCUGAGCUACGAUGUGUGAUUGUGAGCUAUCGCACAGAACCAGUCAUCACAACAUCUAUGCCAACAACCGUUCUGCUUUCAACUACUCCAGCGAGCACGACUACUGUAACCAAAACAGAAACACUGAGCAUAUCAACUAUGGUGGCAGAUGAGCCCAAAGCAUCAGGUGAUGACAGCAGUCGUGCUGGCAAAAUUGCUGGUGCUGUGUGUGGGGCUGUAGGUGUUGCAGCGACCGUUGGCAUUGUGGUCUGGGUGGUGAGAGGAAGUCCACACGCGUUCUAUAAAGUAGUCUAAUGGAAGAAGAAAGAGAUUAAGGAAAAACAAAACUGGCUAUAAAAUCUAGAGAACUUGGGAAAAGGAUAUCACAAACGUUGUUACUGCACAUUUUUUUUCUGAGUAAAUAAUCACAUUUCUACUUAUGUAUAUACUAUAUGAUAUAGAUGCAUAUUGUUUACUGAUGAAGAAUCGCACCAUCGUGUCAAUCUCCAGUGUACUGAUAUUAGUCUUUGGCUCUAUCUGGUGGUGGAAUGAUGGCAUGACAUACAUGUACAGAGUUGUAAAUAAAAGCUACAGAGAGCAGCUUUUAGAUGUGUGUAUUUCAUCCUUUAACAUCUUACAGACUUAAAUGUAAAAUACAAAUGAGGCAGGUUUAAUAUGUACAGAGAAAAUGGUUGGAAGUAAGGCACUGAGGUUUGAAGCCUGAAAAGAAAAAAGAAAAGUUCUUAUAAUGCACCUUUCUGCUACAACUGAGCACUAAAAGCACUUUAGUUCUGUUGCUUUAUUGUUUAUGUUUUGUGAUCUGGAUGGUGAAGGAAAGUCAGGGCUGUUAGGGCUGACAAACACAUCUUUUAACCCUGUGAGGUGGAAAUCAGUGCCGGUGAUAACAAUAAACCUAAUAUGACCAGAAUCUCAUCAUUUAGACAAACACAAAACAGCCAUUAUCUUUCUCUUAAAAUGUAAAUAGUUUUUGAAUGUUUGUCACUUUAGAUUUUUUUUUUUGAGUGCAUACAAACUAUAGGGGUUUGCUCAUCUGCCU